rnacentral:lncRNA from 1 species
GUCCCGGGGCCCGGGGUCCUAGAUCCGGAUUUAGGGUUUAGGGUUUAUGGUGUUUAGGGUUUAUGGUUUAGGGUCUAUGAUAUAGGGUUUAUGGUUUAUGGUUUAGGGUUUAGGGUUUAGGGUUUGGGGUUUUGGGUUUUGGGUUUUGGGGUUUUCGGGUUUAUGGGGUUUUGGGGUUUAUGGUUUGGGAUUUGGGGUUUGUGAUUAGAGCACAAAAGUAAAAUUUUCAUACUAUCUUAAUUAGUAUUAUAGCUAAUCUUUAUAAAUAAAAUUAAUUAAUUAAUGUGUUAUUUAUGUUUGAGUGCAAGUAAUUCAAGAGACCCAAUAACGCUGGGUUUCAGCCCAAUGCCCGGCAGCUCAAGCUCCACAAAUUCCCCAAUGUCCGUGAUGAGGCGACUCAACAGUUCCUAACCUAAAAUUCCCAUGCAUUCACAUCAACGGCCUGAAGCAAGUGAUUUCCCAACGUUUUCAAGCGUUUCCGAGCAGGCAUCUCAACUCCCCAAGCUCUUUGACUCAAAGCAAAACUUCCCAAAAGCCAUCCACAAAUCCAACCGUCCGUGAGGAGCUUCCCAACGUUCGUCAUCCCCAAGCCGCGUCUCAUCCUGA